rnacentral:rRNA from 1 species
AUUGGACGCUGGCGGAAUGCUUUACACAUGCAAGUCGAACGGCAGCACGGGGGCAACCCUGGUGGCGAGUGGCGAACGGGUGAGUAAUACAUCGGAACGUGCCCAGUCGUGGGGGAUAACGUAGCGAAAGUUACGCUAAUACCGCAUACGAUCUAUGGAUGAAAGCGGGGGACCGUAAGGCCUCGCGCGAUUGGAGCGGGCGAUGUCAGAUUAGGUAGUUGGUGGGGUAAAGGCUCACCAAGCCGACGAUCUGUAGCUGGUCUGAGAGGACGACCAGCCACACUGGGACUGAGACACGGCCCAGACUCCUACGGGAGGCAGCAGUGGGGAAUUUUGGACAAUGGGCGCAAGCCUGAUCCAGCCAUUCCGCGUGCAGGAUGAAGGCCCUCGGGUUGUAAACUGCUUUUGUACGGAACGAAACGGUCUGCUCUAAUACAGCGGGCUAAUGACGGUACCGUAAGAAUAAGCACCGGCUAACUACGUGCCAGCAGCCGCGGUAA